GACGAACGCUGGCGGCGUGCCUAAUACAUGCAAGUCGAGCGAAGUUUUUCUGGUGCUUGCACUAGAAAAACUUAGCGGCGAACGGGUGAGUAACACGUAAAGAACCUGCCUCAUAGACUGGGACAACUAUUGGAAACGAUAGCUAAUACCGGAUAACAGUAUUUCUCGCAUGGGAGAUAUUUAAAAGUUGGUUAUGCUAACACUAUGAGAUGGCUUUGCGGUGCAUUAGCUAGUUGGUGGGGUAAAGGCCCACCAAGGCGACGAUGCAUAGCCGACCUGAGAGGGUGAUCGGCCACACUGGGACUGAGACACGGCCCAGACUCCUACGGGAGGCAGCAGUAGGGAAUCUUCCGCAAUGGGCGAAAGCCUGACGGAGCAACGCCGCGUGAGUGAAGAAGGAUUUCGGUUCGUAAAGCUCUGUUGUUAGGGAAGAAUGGAUAUGUAGUAACUAUACA
rnacentral:rRNA from 1 species